AUUGAACGCUGGCGGCAGGCCUAACACAUGCAAGUCGAGCGGUAGAGAGGUGCUUGCACCUCUUGAGAGCGGCGGACGGGUGAGUAAUGCCUAGGAAUCUGCCUGGUAGUGGGGGAUAACGCUCGGAAACGGACGCUAAUACCGCAUACGUCCUACGGGAGAAAGCAGGGGACCUUCGGGCCUUGCGCUAUCAGAUGAGCCUAGGUCGGAUUAGCUAGUUGGUGAGGUAAUGGCUCACCAAGGCGACGAUCCGUAACUGGUCUGAGAGGAUGAUCGGUAACACUGUAACUGCGACACGGUCCAGACUCCUACGGGAGGCAGCAGUGGGGAAUAUUGGACAAUGGGCGGAAGCCUGAUCCAGCCAUGCCGCGUGUGUGAAGACGGUCUUCGGAUUGUAAAGCACUUUAAGUUGGGAGGAAGGGUCGUUACCUAAUACGUGACGAUUUUGCCGUUACCGACAGAAUAAGCACCGGCUAACUCUGUGCCAGCCGCCGCCGUAAAAC
rnacentral:rRNA from 1 species